CGCGGGAAGAAAAUGACUUUCAGCGCCCACCGCGCUGCACGAUCCUUUCCCCGGAUCCAGCAAGGGCUCCGCACCUCGGCUGAGGGCCUCGGACAGCGUUCUCGAGGCGGCGGCGCAGGGGUCAGGGGCAUCUUACCAGAGUCCAGUCCCGGGCUGGGGACGCGGGAUGCGCGCGCCUCGGUGGCUGCCGGCCCCUCGCCGCUCACCCGCACCGCUGCUGUCCGCGGAAGCUCGGCGGGGUCUGGGCAGGUCGCUCUCGGUUUCGUUUUCCCCGCGGACUCCGCCUUCCUUCCUCUCCGCCUUCCUCCCGCCCUCCCACGCGGGUCCACACCGGUUCGCACACGUCCGCACAGGCUCAGCGAUCGCGGGAAACUGGCGCCUCCACCCCGAGUCCGCGCGGGGGGUACCGCGGGGCGGACCGGGCACGUCCAAGACCCUGCAGCCCCACCCCGGCUUCCGGGGCUGUUCCCGGCCCCGGUGCGGGCAGGGUACUCCGGGAGGUGGGGAGGACAUCUAGGUCUCCGAGGCCCGCGACGUGGCAGGCGCUCUGUGAUCAACGCUCCAGUUUCCUCUUCAACACAAAUAUUUGGGAUGGGGUUGGGGGGGCUGGAUAUCAUCAGCUCCAUUUUAUUAAUGGAAGAAAACUGAGUAAAUUAACUCUCCCAGGGCAAAGCCAGGAUUCCUUUGCCCAUAACCACCAUUCCUUUGCCCUCCUCCUUCUCCUCACGUUAACCAGGCUGGGGGUGAAGAGGCCUGGGGGCAUAAUUUCCCUUGCUAUCUGUUUGCACCCAUCCAUCCAUUCUUUCAACAGGUACUUGCCAGCUGCUGUAUCAAGUACCAGCCAAUCCAGCAGUUAGGAGAGCUACCUGCUGCCUUCGGGACCUCCUGGAGUUUACCACCAAAGUCCUUACCAGUAGUCCCAGAUUUAUAAGAAAUCCUACUCACCUAAGGGACUAUGACACACUCCCAGAGUAAUACUGGCACCUUGACACAGUGACUGAGGAGUGCUGAAGACUGAACCUCACAACAAUACUGCAAGGAUAAGUCUGGCUUGAAGAGCCUGAAUUAGUCGCCUUGCGAGGACAUGCUGAAAUUUCCAAACGCCCCAUUCCUCCCUCAUGUCUUCACUCCUAGAACUAGAAUCAGGUGCUAGAAUGCCCCAAGAGGAUACAGACAAGAUCUGAUCCAGAGGAUAUAGUUUACAUAAUGAAAGAAUUACAAGAUUUUGCUAAUUUUUAUCAGCAGAAACCCAAGAAAAGUGCAUGGAUAUGCUUCUAAAGGUGACAUGAAAAACGGAACGUAGUUUAGAUUAUGCACUCAGUGUGCUGGCUCCAGCAGCUGGGAAUGGUUCUAAGAGUUUGUUUAGUUGGCUUACUAUAACCUGGGCUCAGUGGUGGCCCACAUUAAUUGAAAUUGUGAUGCCAAGUAAUACAGAUGAAGAAAUCAAAAAUACUUAAGGAGUCAGGAAUAUUAGAGUAGAUUAAUCAUAUGCAACCUAUUCCUCCACUUUCUAACCAUGCCCCAUAAGAAUAUCCAAAGGACCCUCCUUCACCAGGCAUUGAGAAAUAUAGUUUCAUCUUUGAAAAGCUCUGUAUUGGCUGUCCACUGUGCCUGGGGAAUGUUGAUGGGAGAUGUUGCCAUUGAAAAACUACCUGAUUUCAAUGGGGAUUAUGGCUCCCAGAGUGGCAAAGGCCAUGUGGCAACACUUAACUCCACCCGUCCCUCCAAAAAAAAGGGCAACGGGGUCAGAGCAGUAGUCAGAAAGGUUUGCUCACCAGAGAUCUUUAGUGGUGGUAAACUGGUCCUGGAGUUUCUAGUACUGAAAUAGAUGGCAGCCCACAGGUGUGUUACAUGAGCAGAUAUAUGAGACCCCCAUGGCACUCACUCCCACUCUAUCAACCCACAUCCCUGGUCUCAUGGGGAGUUCCUUGUGAACAGGUGACUUAGAAAUAAAAAUUCAGUUGAAGCACAAUAUACUGGCAUUAAUUGGAAGUGGACUGAUGUAUUCUGACAGCCCUACAGGGAGGUAGCCCUAAAAGAUACUGGGAAAAAGGAAAAUCUUCCCAGUGAGUGGAACUUUGAGCAGGUGGAACUAUAUUUAGUUGUCACUUGGAAGGCGAUAAAGCUAGUGGCCUGGACAGUACCAGUAGCUAGCAAUUUACCUGGAUAUUCAGAGAUUUGGAAAGAGCAAGAUCAGAGGGUUGAUGAUAAGGAGGUCUAGGGAAAAGGAUGUGGGUGAUCACUUGGAAUGGACAAAGAGUAUGAGUGUAUUGGGUUCCCU